GAUGAACGCUGGCGGCGUGCCUAAUACAUGCAAGUCGAACGCAUUGUGGUUGAAAUGAUAUGAAGAACUUGUUCAGAUUUGAUUUUCAACAUUGCAAUGAGUGGCGAACGGGUGAGUAACACGUGGGAAACCUACCUCUUAGCAGGGGAUAACAUUUGGAAACAAAUGCUAAUACCGUAUAAUAAUUAAAACCGCAUGGUUUUAGUUUAAAAGAUGGUCUUGCUAUCACUAAGAGAUGGUCCCGCGGUGUAUUAGUUAGUUGGUGAGGUAAUGGCUCACCAAGACAAUGAUACAUAGCCGAGUUGAGAGACUGACCGGCCACAAUGGGACUGAGACACGGCCCAUACUCCUACGGGAGGCAGCAGUAGGGAAUCUUCCACAAUGGACGAAAGUCUGAUGGAGCAACGCCGCGUGUGUGAUGAAGGUUUCGGCUCGCAAAACACUGUUGUAAGAGAAGAAUGACAUUGAGAGUAACUGUUCAAUGUGU
rnacentral:rRNA from 1 species